ACCAGUGUAGCUGAGUGGUGGAGCACUUGCCUAGCACGCAUGAGGCCCUGGGUUCAAUCCCCAGCACUGCCA
rnacentral:tRNA from 1 species